rnacentral:rRNA from 1 species
GCUACUGCCAUCAGAGUUCGAUUAAGCCAUGUUAGUCGAGGGUGCUUCUUCUUCGGAAGAGGUAACCCGGCGGACGGCUCAGUAACACGUGGAUAACUUGCCCUUGGGUCCGGGAUAACCCCUGAGAAAUUGGGGACAAUACCGGAUAGGGCAUCGAUAGCUGGAAUGCGCGAUGUCCAAAAGCUGAGGCGCCCAAGGAUAGGUCUGCGGCCGAUUAGGUUGUUGUUGAUGUAAUGGAUCAACAAGCCUGCAAUCGGUACGGGUUGUGAGAGCAAGAGCCCGGAGAUGGGUUCUGAGAAAAGAACCCAGGUCCUACGGGACGCAUCAGGCGCGAAAACUUUACAAUGUGCGAAAGCACGAUAAGGGAACUCUGAGUGCCUCCUAUGGAGGCUGUUCAGGUGUCUAAAAAGCAUUUGAAGUAAGGGCUGGGUAAGACCGGUGCCAGCCGCCGCGGUAACACCGGCAGCCCAAGUGGUAGCCACGAUUAUUGGGUCUAAAGCGUCCGUAGCCGGCCAGGUAAGUUCUUUGGGAAAUUUAACCGCUCAACGGUUAAGCUUUCAGGGAAUACUGCUUGGCUUGGGACCGGGAGAGGUCAGAGGUACUUCAAGGGUAGGGGUGAAAUCCGUUAAUCCUUGAGGGACCACCAGUAGCGAAGGCGUCUGACCAGACCGGGUCCGACGGUGAGGGACGAAGGCUAGGGUCGCGAACCGGAUUAGAUACCCGGGUAGUCCUAGCUGUAAACGAUGCGGGCCAGGUGUUGGCAUUACUGCGGGUGAUGUCAGUGCCGAAGGGAAGCCGUU